rnacentral:rRNA from 1 species
AUUGAACGCUGGCGGCAUGCCUUACACAUGCAAGUCGAACGGCAGCGGGGGAGAAGCUUGCUUUUCCUGCCGGCGAGUGGCGAACGGGUGAGUAAUAUAUCGGAACGUGCCCUAGAGUGGGGGAUAACUAGUCGAAAGACUAGCUAAUACCGCAUACGAUCUACGGAUGAAAGUGGGGGAUCGCAAGACCUCAUGCUCCUGGAGCGGCCUGUAUCUGAUUAGCUAGUUGGUGGGGUAAAAGCCUACCAAGGCAACGAUCAGUAGCUGGUCUGAGAGGACGACCAGCCACACUGGGACUGAGACACGGCCCAGACUCCUACGGGAGGCAGCAGUGGGGAAUUUUGGACAAUGGGGGUAACCCUGAUCCAGCAAUGCCGCGUGAGUGAAGAAGGCCUUCUGGGUUGUAAACUGCUUUUGUCAGGGGAUAAAAAGCUCGUGCGCGAGUAAUUGCAGAUACCUGAUGAAUAAGCCACGGCUAACUACGUGCCAGCCGCCGCGGUAA